CGCUGCUGAUGGCGACAGCGUCUCUGCUGUGGUCUCCUCCCUUCUCUUCAUCGCCUUCGUUGGCCUCUCCCUGCUCACCGUUGGGGUUAUAUACUUGGCGGUGCAGGAUUUCCUGCAGAAGAGAGAGAGGGACAAGUUUGAGAAAGAGGAGGCUGCUAAAAAGAAGAAAGGUGGGAAGAGAACUAAGGUUAGAGCGAAGACCGGACCGAGAGGUUUCGGGCAAAAGAUCGAAGAGGAUGACGAUGAUGAUGAUGAUCGAGCCUAAUAAUAACGUGAGAUAUCUUUUUUUUUUAUUUUUUCUAUUCAUGCCUGUUACCUAGUUUUGAUAGGACCCAGGAAUCUGAACUUUUUUUUUCAGCAAUGAACUUGACGCUACAUCGCUUGAGAAAAACUCCUGAGAAUUCGAAUCAGUUUAUAAAACAAUCGCCAUUUUUGUAUAUAGAUGGAAGAAGUUUAGAUUGAAUCCAAUGAGAGAAAUUACUUUUUGAGGAGAACUCUGUUCAAUGUUGAAUUUGAGUAUUGAUUAUUACAAGGUUGUUGUAAGAGCAAAA